rnacentral:rRNA from 1 species
CCCUUAGAUGUUCUGGGCCGCACGCGUGCUACACUGAGUGGAUCAGCGGGUCAGGUUGCGCGAAAGCGUUUCCUAAUCUUUAAAUCCGCUCGUGAUGGGGAUUGACGGUUGCAAUUUUCUGUCAUGAACGAGGAAUACCUUGUAAGCGCGGGUCAUCAUCCCGCGCUGAAUACGUCCCUGCCCUUUGUACACACCGCCCGUCGCUCCUACCGAUUGAGUGGUCCGGUGAGGCUUUGGGAUCUGAGCGGAAAGAGCGUUUCGCUGUUUCUGCUCGGAAAACUCAGUCGAACCUUAUCAUUGAGAGGAAGGAGAAGUCGUAACA